CUUUGGGGAACAAAGAGCAAAUUACUAAUAUGGAAUCAUCCUGUUCUGCCCUGCACUAGGAACACAGCAGCAGGCAGACUGCUGCUGCAAGUUCAGGAGUUCUGU